rnacentral:rRNA from 1 species
AACGAACGCUGGCGGCAUGCCUAACACAUGCAAGUCGAACGAGGCCUUCGGGUCUAGUGGCGCACGGGUGCGUAACGCGUGGGAACCUGCCCUUAGGUUCGGAAUAACUCCCCGAAAGGGGUGCUAAUACCGGAUAAUGUCUUCGGACCAAAGAUUUAUCGCCUUUGGAUGGGCCCGCGUUGGAUUAGCUAGUUGGUAGGGUAAAAGCCUACCAAGGCGACGAUCCAUAGCUGGUCUGAGAGGAUGAUCAGCCACACUGGAACUGAGACACGGUCCAGACUCCUACGGGAGGCAGCAGUGGGGAAUAUUGGACAAUGGGCGCAAGCCUGAUCCAGCCAUACCGCGUGGGUGAAGAAGGCCUUCGGGUUGUAAAGCCCUUUUGUUGGGAAAGAAAAGCAGCAGGUUAAUACCCCGCUGUUCUGACGGUACCCAAAGAAUAAGCACCGGCUAACUCCGUG